GACCGACGUGGCGUAGUGGUUUGCGUGCUGGACUAUGACUCUGGAGACCAGGGUUCAAUUCCCAAAUCAGCCG